UUUCACUCCUUUUGUAAACCCUAAAUUCAUUUCAUUCACAUCCGCCCCCAUUCUCCUUCUUCUCUCUCUCUCUCACACCAGACGGGUGUCUCAUGGCGUCGGAUUUCACCAGCGAUUUCACUAGAUCGACGGAUUUCACCGACGAUUUCACUUCUCAGAUCGACGGAUUUCAUCGGCAUUAUUUCACUACAUCGACGGAUUUUACCGACGAUUUCACUUCUCAGAUCUGUGAAACUUUAGGGUUUCUUUCUCCGACGAUUCUGACAUCAGAUCUACUGGGUUCAACUUCUCAAUCUGUUAUAAUACUUGCCUACUAAAUCGCAUGAUGAUGGCAGCGGCGAGUUCUAGGGUUUCGGCGGCUACAUGCCAUUAGGAGGAUAACAAAGGAGAAAAAUGCUCUUGCUGAAAGACUACGGAAUGCUAAAGCUGAAAGGAAAAGAUUUGAUGAUGAACUGAAAUGUUAUGCAACAGAGAAUGUGAAGUUCAAAAAAUGAGAAUCCUUCACAACUUCACUAGAGGAGAUAGUUGCAGCCUUUAGAACAGCAUCUGAAGUUGCGGUCAAAGUUGCAAUGGCUGCAGCUCUGAACAAGGUAGUAAUAGUGAGUGGCCAAAGUCAAUUGGCUCGGCUCAGCUCAGCUCGUCAUUUAGUAGUUUAUUUAUGUAUUUUAUAUAUCUUAUGAAUUAUGUAGUAAUGUAGUUAAAAAGAAGCAGGUCGAAAGCUUUUUCACUUAAAAAGAAGCGGGUAGAAACCUUUUUUUGCUUUAAAAGAAGCGGGUAGAAACCUUUUUUUUUGCUUAAAAAGAAACGGGUCGGAUGCUUUUUCCGCUUAAGAAGCGGGUCGGAUGCUUUCUUGCUUAAAAAGAAGCAGGUCGAAUGCCUUUUCGCUUAAAAAUAAGCGGGUUGACUGCUUUUUCAAUUAAAAAGAAGAGGGUCAAAUGCUUUUUCGAUUAAAAAGAUAAGUGUCGAAUGCUUUUUUGAUUAAAAAGAUAUGGGUCGAAUGCCUUUUCACUUAGAUUCAUUUUAUACCAUUUUAUGAUCUAAUUUAUAUAAUUAGUUGUGAUUUUGUUCGUUUUUCAUUACUAGAAGUUGAUGAUUUUGCUAUGUUUUCAUUAGUAUGAAAUGAUGAACUUGAUGCUUUUGCUAGGUUUUUGUUAGUACGGUAAAUAGUAAACUUAGUUGAGUAAUGAAAUGAGUCAAAUGACGACUGACGAUCUGUGCUUCUGUGUUAUUGAUAGAAGUAUAGAAGAAACUACAUCUUCAAUUUUAGUUGUCGUGGACUCUGGUUGUGGUUAAUUGUCAUCAGUGGAUUGUUUUGCUAGGUACUGUUAGUUUCUUAUAUCUUUGUAUUUGUCAUGAACCGCGAUCAGUUUUGAUUCUUUUUAUACUGUUUUCUGGUCUAAUUUAGUGUAAUUCAUUGUGAUUUUGUUUUUUACGGGAAGUUGACCUGAGAACUGUAUGAAAUGGUGUAGUUGAAGCUUCUGCUAGGUUUUCAUGAGUACGCUGAAUAGCAAACAUAAUUGAAAAACGAGAUGACGAUCUGUGAUUCUGUGUUAUUAUAAGAGUUAUAGAACAAAUAGCAUCUUCAAUUUUAUGUGUUGUGAACUCUUGUUGUAGUUAAUCGGCAUCAGUUGAUUUUCUUAGGGAUUGUUAUAUUCUUAUAUCUUCGUAUGUGUCAUAAAUCACGAUCAGUUUUGGUUCAUCUAAUAAUGUUUUCUGAUCUGAUUAGCUUUUGUUUGUGAAUUUGUUUGUUUGCCAUUACUAAAAGGUGUUGGUUUGAGUAUUAUAUGAAUUGAUGAACUGGAAGUUUUCGCUAGGUUUUUAUUAGAAUGGUGAAUAGUACACCUAUUUUAGAAACGAAGUGACGAUUUGUGAUUCUGUGUUAUUAAUAUAAGUAUAGAACAAACUCCUCUUCAAUUUCAUGUGUGGCAAAUUCUAUUCGAUUAUCGUAUAGGGUUUGUAAAUUUUCUGAUCUAACAGUUUGUGAUAUUGAACCUGUAAUGUAUCUGGUAAUUACACUGUUACAAUUUAUUGAUGGAGAUAGAUGCUACUCUAGGGUUUCUGAAGACCAGGUCUCUGCUGUGUAAACAGACCAUAAUCACUUGCAUAAAUAUGACUACACUGUUGAUGUUGUAUGUAUGUUAUCUUCAAUCCAGGUCAGUUAAUAGUUUUUAACUUUUGUUCUGUUUCCUUGAAUACUAAUUUAUAUGAUUGUUGUUUAUUUCAUGUUGUUAGCUUAGCAAUCCUUCUACACUUCAGAAGAAGUCGAAGGUUACCGAAAUUCAAAAUGAUAUGUAUGAGAUUAUGGCACUGGAUAGAGGUGAUGAACUGCCGCAGGUGAUGAUGGCGCUAACACGAGACGGGCAACUCUACCCGAGCCUCGCUAAAGGUUGAAAAGAGGUGAACAGCUGGGUUGAAAAGAGGGAACAGUGGUCAGAAGGGUGAAAAGAGGGAACAGUGGUCAGAAGCAUGCUCUAUACAACAUCUACUUUUGUUUUGUCAACUGUAAAGCUGGGUUGAAAAGUAGAUGUCAAAAGUACAACAUCUACUGUUGAAAAGCAUGCUCUGUGCCCCCAUUUUUUUAUUUGUUUUGUGCCCCUAAAACCGAUGAGCCGGCCCUUUUUGACUCAUGGUGCUGUUUCAUUUUUGAAAGCUCUUUAAUAAUGAUUUUGUUUUCCCAUUUUCCAACAGUUACAUCUCUUGUUUUCUAAUUAGCCAUUUUUUUAGUUUCCAACCGUUGCAUCUAUUGUUUUCUUAUUAGACAAAACAUCUAUUGAAGGUAUAAUAUUUACUCUUGUUACAA